rnacentral:rRNA from 1 species
UCUUGGUCAUUUAGAGGAAGUAAAAGUCGUAACAAGGUCUCCGUUGGUGAACCAGCGGAGGGAUCAUUACCGAGUUAUACAACUCAUCAACCCUGUGAACAUACCUAUAACGUUGCCUCGGCGGGAACAGACGGCCCCGUAACACGGGCCGCCCCCGCCAGAGGACCCCCUAACUCUGUUUCUAUAAUGUUUCUUCUGAGUAAACAAGCAAAUAAAUUAAAACUUUCAACAACGGAUCUCUUGGCUCUGGCAUCGAUGAAGAACGCAGCGAAAUGCGAUAAGUAAUGUGAAUUGCAGUAUUCAGUGAAUCAUCGAAUCUUUGAACGCACAUUGCGCCCGCCAGUAUUCUGGCGGGCAUGCCUGUUCGAGCGUCAUUACAACCCUCAGGCCCCCGGGCCUGGCGUUGGGGAUCGGCGGAAGCCCCCUGCGGGCACAACGCCGUCCCCCAAAUACAGUGGCGGUCCCGCCGCAGCUUCCAUUGCGUAGUAGCUAACACCUCGCAACUGGAGAGCGGCGCGGCCACGCCGUAAAACACCCAACUUCUGAAUGUUGACCUCGAAUCAGGUAGGAAUACCCGCUGAACUUAAGCAUAUCAAUAAGCGGAGGAA